rnacentral:rRNA from 1 species
CAGUCGCCACGGGAAUACGAAGGGGGCUAGCGUUGUUCGGAAUUACUGGGCGUAAAGCGCACGUAGGCGGAUACUUAAGUCAGGGGUGAAAUCCCGGGGCUCAACCCCGGAACUGCCUUUGAUACUGGGUAUCUCGAGUCCGGAAGAGGUGAGUGGAAUUCCGAGUGUAGAGGUGAAAUUCGUAGAUAUUCGGAGGAACACCAGUGGCGAAGGCGGCUCACUGGUCCGGUACUGACGCUGAGGUGCGAAAGCGUGGGGAGCAAACAGGAUUAGAUACCCCAGUAGUCCCUGUCUCUUAUAC